rnacentral:rRNA from 1 species
UGGGGAAUAUUGCGCAAUGGGCGAAAGCCUGACGCAGCGACGCCGCGUGAGGGAUGAAGGCCUUCGGGGUCGUAAACCUCUGUCAGGAGGGAAGAACCGCCAUGGUGCUAAUCAGCCAUGGUCUGACGGUACCUCCAAAGGAAGCACCGGCUAACUCCGUGCC